rnacentral:rRNA from 1 species
AUUGAACGCUGGCGGCAUGCCUUACACAUGCAAGUCGAACGGCAGCACGGGAGCAAUCCUGGUGGCGAGUGGCGAACGGGUGAGUAAUAUAUCGGAACGUGCCCAGUCGUGGGGAUAACGUAGCGAAAGCUACGCUAAUACCGCAUACGAUCUAUGGAUGAAAGCGGGGGAUCGCAAGACCUCGCGCGAUUGGAGCGGCCGAUAUCAGAUUAGGUAGUUGGUGAGGUAAAGGCUCACCAAGCCGACGAUCUGUAGCUGGUCUGAGAGGACGACCAGCCACACUGGGACUGAGACAGGCCCAGACUCCUACGGGAGGCAGCAGUGGGGAA